GACGAACGCUGGCGGCGUGCUUAACACAUGCAAGUCGAACGGGCCUUGUCCCCUUUUUUUUUGGGGGUGGGGUUAGUGGCGAACGGGUGAGUAACACGUGAGUAACCUGCCCCUCACUUCUGGAUAACCGCUUGAAAGGGUGGCUAAUACGGGGUGUUCUGGCCUGCUCGCAUGGGUGGGUUUGGAAAGAUUCGACCGGUUUUGGUUGUUUUGGUGGGGGAUGGGCUCGCGGCCUAUCAGCUUGUUGGUGGGGUGAUGGCCUGCCAAGGCUUUGACGGGUGGCCGGCUUGGGGGGGUGGGCGUUCACACUGGGACUGAGACACGGCCCAGACUCCUACGGGAGGCAGCAGUGGGGAAUAUUGCACAAUGGGCGCAAGCCUGAUGCAGCGACGCCGCGUGAGGGAUGGAGGCCUUCGGGUUGUGAACCUCUUUCGCCAGUGAAGAAGGUCCUGCUCUUUGUGGUGGGGUUGACGGUAGCUGGGUUAAUGAAGCGCCGGCUAACUACGUG
rnacentral:rRNA from 1 species